UAGACAUUUUAAAUAUUUAAAUUUCAACACGCUUACACUGUCUUUAUUACAAAGUGUCAUUAACAAGUCAACAUGAACACCUUUCCUUAUAAUUCUUAUUUUACAAACGUUCUAAAUUUGUUAUCAGCACGAUUUAGAUAUAGUUUAUAUUACUAUUUCUUUUUUACUGCCAGCAUUAUUAUUUUUAACUUGAUUAAAUGAUUAGAAAAAUAAAAUCAAUGUUCAUCAUGAAGGUCAUAUCUGAUGAGGCCCUCCACUACUAUUGGUUGAGAAAUAACAUUGACGGAUUCUGAUUGGAUGUAAAAACCAGGAAGUCAGACGAUAACCAAUCCCCAGCAUAUUAACGCUUGACGGCAAACAUUUGACCUGUCUGCUUCUUGGAGCUGCAAACUCUCAGCUCACCAUCAUCAUCACCAUCACCAGCAUCAGCUGUUUGAAUCAACUUGAUAGUUUAUAUUUAUUUUAACGAUCGAAGGUUGCAGAGCAGCAUUGAACAUGGCGGCCUUCAAAUUAGUGCUGAUUCGCCACGGAGAGAGCAACUAGAACCAGGAGAAUCGUUUCUGCGGCUGGUUCGAUGCAGACUUGAGCGAAACCGGGGAGAAGGAGGCGAAGAGAGGAGGACAGGUAUGUUAGCCUGGCGCCCUUUUGUCAUUCGUUCCACUGGGGAGAGAUUGGGCUGGAGAACUGGAGCACAUGCUAUGUGCUAAUGCUGAUAUCUCCCGAUUGACAGAUCAAUAAACGGAGACUGCCUCCAAACCCAGA